rnacentral:misc_RNA from 1 species
UUAAGUUCAGCGGGUCUUCCUACCUGAUCCGAGGUCAACCUUGGGUAAAUAAGGCUUUUAACGGCCGGAACCCGCAGCACGCCCAGAGCGAGAUAAAUCUACUACGCUCGGGGUGACAGCGAGCCCGCCACUGGUUUUCGGGGCCUGCGGGCAGCCGCAGGUCCCCAGCACAAGCCCGGGGGCUUGAUGGUUGAAAUGAC